GCCCAUUUCUUGAACUUUUUUCGCACAAUGGAUUCCGAUUUGUUGGAUUUUUGUUUCCUUUCCAUGUGAUUUCUUUUUGUUUACCUGUUUAAGAGAAUGUAUUUUCCUUUACACCCACUGUAUUAGUUGACUUGUGCACAUCUUCUGAUAUAGGUUAUUCCAUGUUUUUCCAACUCAAUUAUGCUUCUUCCUCUAGCUCGUACCUCUUUUAUGUUGUUCAACUGAUAUUCACCUGCAAAAUCAAAAGCUAAAUUAGUGAAAAGUUCAGCAAAAACGUCACCUUCUCACAAGAAAUGUAUUAAUCAUACUGAUAUGUGUCUCAUUAGACACUUGAUGAUAUUAAUCUCCACAGCCACAUUCCAUGGGGUUUCCCAAGUCCCCCAAAUGACUUGAAUAAUACUCCUAGAAUCAGAUUCUACUAUGACCUAUUGUAAGGAGUUAUUAUCACAGAACAUUAAACAUCUCCUUAUAGUAAUAGCCUCAACCACCAAGCCGUUUGUGUCUUGAAUUUUCUCCUUUAGCCACCAUUAAAUCUUCAUUUACAUCUCUAAUACAAAAAAUAACUGAGUUGGGGAUAGGAUUUCCCUUUGAGGCCCCAUUAGUGUUAGCUAUCAACCAACCAGUAGGUGGAAGGAUCCAUCUCACCACUCUUGAGAUAUAGGAGGUUAUGUACCUCUUUAAAGCAUCAACAAUAGCAGUCAAUUAAACCACUCUUGAUAAGGAGUUUCUGUACCCUUUUAAAGCAUUAAAAAUAGAAGGCCAACUUUUCCCUUCAUCUCCAUGUUAUAUCUGAGUUUAACAGACCUUCCAAUAAUCUUAUUUAUUUCCCACAUCACCUUUCUGUCAUGAUAAGAACCACUAUGUAGUCUAGUGUUUCUUCUUUUCCAUAGAAACCAAAGAACAAUGAGUGGUAUCACCUAAAAGAUUUACUUCUCUUGUAUUUCCAUUCUUUUCCCUCCACAUCCUUAUAGUUUGUGUCAAAUUCAAUCUUUGGUCAAUAAUACCUGUAAAACCACAAUAGUGAUGCCAAAUCUUUUCUGCUACCUCUCCUCUUAUAAACAAAUGUUCAAUUAUUUUCUUUUUUUGGAUUGUGACAACAUCCACAAGUAGCAGAAAUAUUAGUGUCCCAUUGAUUCAUGACUAGCACCUUCGCUGACUAGAUUCUCCAUAUAAGAAAGGAGAAUUUGAAAGAGAUGCAUUUACACCAAAUAGCCUGCAAAUUAACAUUAGGGUCAGCCCUUUGUCUAAGUAUCUCCCAAGCACUCGUGAUGGUGAGCUUUCCAUUGCUAUUCUUUGUCCACCAAGGUUUGUCUCCUACAUUCUCCCAUUAAACCAUAUUCGUCUUAGUCCUCACAUGUUCAAUCACGUUCUCUGGAAUUACUUCAAGCAUGUGGUCAAAAUCCCAUCCUUCUUCAUUUAAUAAUUAUGCAAUAUCACUCAUGGGAUGAUAGGUCUGUACAGUAGUAGGUUGCAAAUAUAAAGGAUUAAUGUUAGUCUAAUGGUUAUACCAGGUUACAGAUGUCCCACUCUUAGGCUCCCACUAUAUGAAAUUCUCCAAUUUCUCCUUAUUUUCCAACAUUCAUUUCCAUACUUGAGAACCUCUUUUCCACUGAACCAGAGCUGGAAUUUGUUUCUUGCAUUACUUAUUCCACACAAAAUUAGUCCACAAAUUGUUGUGUCCUAAACCUCUACCAUAUCUUAGCAUACAUUACCUAAGAGACAUCAUGUAGGGAUCUAAAUCCUAAACCUCUUUCUCUUUUAGGUAAGCACACUUUGUACCAUGUAGACCAGUUCUUUCUUCUACCAUCUUCUUUGUUGUUCCAAAAGAACUUUGCAAAAAUCCUAUGCAGUUCUUUGAUUACACACUUUGGGGGGGAAAUUGCAGAUAAUACAUAUAUAGGUACAUUUUGUAUCACACUUGUCAGCAACACCUCUCUUCCCCCACAAGACAACAUCCUACCUUUCCAUGCCUAUGGUUUUCUUCUAACUCUCUCCCACAACUCUGUAAAAUAUUCUUUACUCUUCUUUGGGUGGGAUAUUGGGUAUCCCAGAUAUUUCAAAGAAAAUCUACUUUUGACAUUCAUGUACUGUUUUUCACCUAUUGCACCACUCUACUAGUAGUAUUUGAUGCAUGUAAAAGAAACUCUUAUUCUUAUUUACCUUCUGGCCUAUACUUCUAUAGAACCUACAUUAUUUUUUCAGUAGAAUAUUCAUUAGAAGAAGCAGAAAUUGUUGUAUCAUCUACAUAUGUCAAGACUCUAUUUAAGCAUUUCAUGUCCCAAGUAUAAGGGAUUUUCAAAGAGGCAAUUUAGAGCCCUUGUUAAGACCUCAGAAGAUAAAAUAAAAAGUGCUAAAGAGAGAGGGUCUUUCUGUUUCACCUCUUUAGUGGAAUGAAAGAAAACCACGGCCUGACCAUUCAAUAGAAUAGAGUAAUAGUUAUUUGAGAUUAAUCUCCAAACCAAAUCAGUCACCCUGCUGGAAAAGUCCUUAAAACCUUCAUCAAGAAAAAUUAAGAAACUCUGUCAUAUGUUUUAGCCAUGUCCAAUUUCAGUACUACAUUAGCAGGUUUUUCUCUUUUUUCAAUAUCUAAAAUCAACUCCUGUGUUAAUAUCAUAUUUUCUACUAUGCUUCUUCCUCUUACAAAACUUGGUUGAUUGUGUGAGAUCAAUCUAGGAAGGAUACCAUCCAACCUGUCAUGAAUUAUUUUUAAGAAAAUCUUAUUCACAAAAUUGCUCAAACUAAUAGGCAUCAAGUCUGAGAAGGGUUGCAUAUUCUCUUUGUUAGAUAAGGACUAAAUUAGUAUAUGAGUAAUUAAUUUUGGGAGAGUAUUUCCUGCAUCAAACAUUCUCCACCAUCCUAAUAAUAUCAGGACCUACUAUAUCCCAACAUGACUAAUAGAGCAGUCUAGAAAGGCCAUCAAGAUCACAAGCACUGUCUCUAUUUAGUCUAAACAUAACCUUCUUAACCUCUGCUUCAUCGGGAAUGGACUUUAAAAUCUCCUUUGUAAUUAAUUUAGGGACAUGAUUCAAUAGAGAAAAUUGAUUACCUUUUCAUUCCUGGGUAAACUACUUCUGAUAGAAUGCAACAACCUCAUCAGCAAUUUCAUUAUCACUUUCCAGACACCUUUCCUGCUUAGUUAGAAUUCUACUAAUUUUGAGAUUGUUUUUUCUACCUUUUUACUAGAUUAUUGAAGAAUAUAGUAUUUCUAUAAGCACUUUUAAACCGUUCAUAACCUGCUUUUGAUUGCCAGUAACUUUAUUCUAGAUGCAAGUUUUUAAUAUAUUCAUCUUCAGGUCUUUGCAUCACUGCUCUAUUUUCCUAGGUGGGAAAAUAUUCAAACAACUUUUCUUUAAUAUUUGCAUUCUCCUUUCUUAUGACCAACUGCUAAAUAAUGUCAUCAUAGGUGGCCCUGCUCCAUAAGGAUAAAGCCUUCUUUACUUGCUUGAUUUUUCUUUUGAAAUCCAGGAAAGGGUAUUCUAAAAAUUCAUCAUUCUUCUAAUUCAUUAUAACCACAAAUUUGAAAUUCUCAUGCUUAGUCCAGAACUUCAAGAAUUUAAACGGCCUUUUAGCAUUAUUGAUACUAUUACUGCAACUCAGGAAAAGUAGGGCAUGAUCAGAACCAUCCCUAGGCAAAUGCUUCACUUCAGUGUGAGAAAAUAAACCCUUUUAACUCCUUAUUAGCUAGAACUCUAUCUAGUCUCUCAAAUAUACAAUCAUCCCUAGCUCUACCAUUCCACCAAGUAAACGGACUAUCCUUAUAUUGAAUUUAAAGUAGAUCACAUGAUUCUAUACAGGUCUGAAAGUCUUUUAUCUCUGAAGCCAUUACUGUACAUUCCCCAAUCUUUUCUGCACUAUUGAGGACAACACUUAAGUCACCCCCUACCAUCCAUGGUCUAAUGAUAUCACUCGCAAUAGAAUAUAUAUCCUCCCAUAUCUCAAGCCUCUAAUUUCUUUCACAUUUUGCAUAGACUAUGGUUGUUAAAAAACUAAGACCUAAUGUUCGAUUUUCCAGAAGUAUUGUCAGUUGCAGCUUAGAAUUACUGACAGUUGUGGUAUCAAACCCAUGGUUAGUAAGCAACCACACCUUUCCAUUGAAAUUACAAAAUACUAAAGGCAUAUGGAGUCUAUUCCUAUAACUUUGAAUAGUUCCGACAUGUUGAAAAGACUCCAAUAAAGCUAUAAAAGAAAAAUUGGGGAAUUUAUGUAACAUCUAUACCCUCUAAAAGGCCAUUUGAGACUUAAGAGAUAUUGUAUUCCAAAUUAAUGCCUUCAUCAUUAUUUACCUUUCUGGGUACCCAUCUUUCUCUUUGGUUGUACUCUACUAGGCUGUAAAGCCUCAUCGUUGACCUACUUUUUCCCCUUUUUGCAAAAUUUAAAAACUUUAGAGAACUUGGAGAUAGGUUAACAUUUCCGUCAGUUCCUUACCUUGAACUCAACGACUUUUCCCUUCUAUAUCUUCAAUCAGCAUCUACUUUUAUACCACUUCUUGUAUAUUAAGAGUAAGAAUUAGAUGCAGCACUUUAUUUGGAUGAGGUUGCUCACUCCAUAUUUGUUUCACAUAUUCGUCACAGUUAUUGGAACAUCAAUAAUUGCUAAUUUAUCACUCAGUUGUGUGAUUUGUGAUUAAGUUAUCAACAUCUUCUCCAUUUUAUAUUUUUACCUUGUCUGCACCAGCCUCUCCUGUUUCACUUGUAUUUUGCUGCUCUGCAUUAGAAUUUAAUGUCUGAUCAGUGCUUGAUUCAUCUACAACUCCCCUAUCCCCUGAUUUUUCCUUGUUAGUGUUGCCUUCAUUAGCAUUAGUAUUCAUUAUUUCACAUGCAUUUUGCUUAUCAGAUUUUACCCGUGAUUCUUUUUCGAGAUCCGUGGCUGCUUCAUCUACUUUAUUCAUCUUUUUGUUGUGCCUAGAAGUUGAUGUAUUGUCUUUACUCCCUUUUUAUUAGAUAUCAACUUGCUAGCAUUGCAUUCACAUGGGUUC
rnacentral:lncRNA from 1 species